CUUACCCGGUACUGCCCAGCCCUAUUACACUAUUAAAAAAUAGAAACUCUAACAUCAAAAAUUCCUUAUUUCCCUCAGAUCUCAUAAGUAACAGCAACCCACUGCCCAGCCCUCUCGAGUCUCGCCUCUCCCUCUCGUCGUCUCAGAAUCUCAACACAUUUCUUAGAACCAGAUCUCAGAACCCCAGUUACGGGCUUACGGCUAUAGCCAGAGCAGCAGAUGGAAACAACAGUCACGAAAGCAAAGAAAGCGAGAUAUGGGAAACAAAUUCCAAGAACACUAGAUGAAGCAAUUUCAAGUUGGAAGAUAUAGAAGAGUAGUGGAAGCAAACGGGAAAUAGGUUGGAGAGCGAUGCUAUGUUUCUUUUUUGGCUUAUAUGAAAUUAAUGUUCAGUGUUUUGGUGGAGUGGGGUGACAAGGAUACUUGGGAGCCAUCUGAAUAAUAGUUGUGUUAGGAUACAUCUCCUUGUAUUCUGGACUCAUUUUGAGAGAUGUAAUUGUCAUGUUAGGAAGUGUUAACUGUUAUGUUAGUUGAAGCAUUGUUGGGUAUUUA